rnacentral:misc_RNA from 1 species
GGGAUCUCUCCUACCAGUUCAUUGGAGGAGAGGUCAAGCACCUGCAAUUGAGUUGCUUCGGAAAUCCCAGGUGGUACGCUACCGGAAAUUCUAUUGCUAGAAAUUUUCAAGCAGGUUAAAUUUUGGCAGUGCCCCCAAUUUUGUGAUAGCCCACCAUACAAUUUAUUGUAACUGAGGUCAAUGUAAUUUAACUGCGGAUAUACGCCAAAAUCUUCUGAUAUGUUUCCUUCAAGUUGAUUCCAUUCCAGCCUUACCCUGACCAAACUAGUGCAGUUCUUCAAACUCUUGGGAAUGGAACCUCUGAUACUGUUUUCAUUUGCGGUCAAAAUGCUAAGCAUUCCUCCGAGGCAUAUAUCUGGAGGUAGGCAGCCAGACAAAUUGUUGUAACUCAAUCCCAAAAAGUUUAAAGAUGUAAGAUUAUUCAGCUCUUGAGGGAUCUGGCCACUUAGUUUAUUUCUGUUAAGAUUCAGGUGACCAAGGGAUCUGAGUUUUCCUAUUUCGUGGGGUAUAGGUCCUGAAAGUCCAUUCUCGAAUAGAUUUAUGAUAUUCAAGUUACUUAAAUUUCCAAUGGAAGCGGGUAUCGGACCUGUUAGGAUGUUUUUUUGUAGAGAAAGGUCAGUUAGUGAUUUAAGCAUUCCUACCUCUUGAGGGAUGGAUCCAGAAAGCAUGUUUUCAUUAAGCCAUAGAUAUGAAAGAUUUCUCCAAUUUGCUAUAGACAAAGGGAUAGAGCCCGAAAGAAAAUUCUCACCACAAAUUAGCUCAUCAAGAGACCUUAACAUUCCAAUUUCCUGAGGGAUAGAGCCAUUUAUCUUAUUCUUCUGCACAUUUAAGUAGCGAAGAUUUGAGAGCAGGCCUACCUCAGAUGGAAUAUUACCAUAUAUAUCAUUGGAACUAAAGUCAAGGCGUAUGAGAUUUGAAAGAUUGCUGAUGGGUGGAGGAAUAGUUCCAGAGAGAUUGUUGGAACUCAAGUCAAGAUAUAUGAGAUUUGAGAGAUUGCUGAUGGGGGGUGGAAUGGUUCCAGAUAUAUCGUUGGAGCUCAAGGCAAUCUGUGUUAGUUUUGAAAGAAGACUUAGAUGGGAUGGAAUGGAUCCAAAAAUUCUAUUCUGAAAGAGAUUUAAGAUAUUCAAGUUGCUUAAAUUCCCAAGGGAUGCAGGUAUAGAACCUGUUAUAAUGUUGCGCUGCAAAGAAAGGUCAAUGAGUGAUUUAAGCUUUCCUACUUCCCGGGGGAUGGAUCCAGAAAAUCUGUUUUCAUUAAGCCAUAGAUAUGAAAGAUUUCUCCAAUUUGCUAUAGACAAAGGGAUAGAGCCCGAAAGAAAAUUCUCACCACAAAUUAGCUCAUCAAGAGACCUUAACAUUCCAAUUUCCUGAGGGAUAGAGCCAUUUAUCUUAUUCUUCUGCACAUUUAAGUAGCGAAGAUUUGAGAGCAGGCCUACCUCAGAUGGAAUAUUACCAUAUAUAUCAUUGGAACUAAAGUCAAGGCGUAUGAGAUUUGAAAGAUUGCUGAUGGGUGGAGGAAUAGUUCCAGAGAGAUUGUUGGAACUCAAGUCAAGAUAUAUGAGAUUUGAGAGAUUGCUGAUGGGGGGUGGAAUGGUUCCAGAUAUAUCGUUGGAGCUCAAGGCAAUCUGUGUUAGUUUUGAAAGAAGACUUAGAUGGGAUGGAAUGGAUCCAAAAAUUCUAUUCUGAAAGAGAUUUAAGAUAUUCAAGUUGCUUAAAUUCCCAAGGGAUGCAGGUAUAGAACCUGUUAUAAUGUUGCGCUGCAAAGAAAGGUCAAUGAGUGAUUUAAGCUUUCCUACUUCCCGGGGGAUGGAUCCAGAAAAUC